rnacentral:rRNA from 1 species
ACCACCCUUUAAUGUUUGAUGUUCUAACGUUGGCCCCUUACCGGGGUUGCGGACAGUGUCUGGUGGGUAGUUUGACUGGGGCUGUCUCCUCCCAAAGCGUAACGGAGGAGCACGAAGGUUAGCUAAUCCUGGUCGGACAUCAGGAGGUUAGUGCAAUGGCAUAAGCUAGCUUGACUACGAGCGUGACGGCGCGAGCAGGUGCGAAAGCAGGUCAUAGUGAUCCGGUGGUUCAGAAUGGAAGGGCCAUCGCUCAACGGAUAAAAGGUACUCCGGGGAUAACAGGCUGAUACCGCCCAAGAGUUCAUAUCGACGGCGGUGUUUGGCACCUCGA